UGGGGAAUAUUGCACAAUGGGCGAAAGCCUGAUGCAGCGACGCCGCGUGAGGGAAGAAGGUUUUCGGAUUGUAAACCUCUGUCUUUGGGGACGAGAACGGACGGUACCCAAGGAGGAAGCCACGGCUAACUACGUGCCAGCAGCCGCGGUAAUACGUAGGUGGCAAGCGUUGUCCGGAAUUACUGGGUGUAAAGGGAGCGUAGGCGGGAAUGCAAGUUGAAUGUGAAAUUUACGGGCUCAACCCGUAAACUGCGUUCAAAACUGUGUUUCUUGAGUUAAGUAGAGGCAGGCGGAAUUCCCUGUGUAGCGGUGAAAUGCGCAGAUAUAGGGAGGAACACCAGUGGCGAAGGCGGCCUGCUGGGCUUUUACUGACGCUGAGGCUCGAAAGCGUGGGUAGCAAACAGG
rnacentral:rRNA from 1 species